UACGUAGGGUGCGAGCGUUAAUCGGAAUUACUGGGCGUAAAGCGUGCGCAGGCGGUUUUGUAAGCCAGAUGUGAAAUCCCCGGGCUUAACCUGGGAAUGGCAUUUGGGACUGCAAGGCUUGAGUGCGGCAGAGGAGACUGGAAUUCCUGGUGUAGCAGUGAAAUGCGUAGAUAUCAGGAGGAAUACCGAUGGCGAAGGCAGGUCUCUGGGCAGUAACUGACGCUGAGGAGCGAAAGCGUGGGGAGCGAACAGG
rnacentral:rRNA from 1 species